ACACAAAAUCUAACAUUUCUCUAUCACAAUUCCCAAAACCUAAAACCUAUUCCCCAUCUCCCGUCUCUCACGAUUCUCCCCUCCCCACCGCCGCAAUCUGUCCCACCGCGCCCCUCACACAGCCGCGAUCUGCUUCGCCAGACCACCCCGUCCCCUUCCCCCGCCGUGAUCUGCCCUCUCCAAACUUGAAACCCUAAUCUAGCGCGCUUCCACAAUCUACACAAACUCGCUUUUCUCUUCUUCUCUCCUCUGAGACGCGACCAGACCACCCCGUCGUGCUGCCCUACUCGCCGUCGCACUGCCCUGCGUGUCAUGACCAGAGCAGUCCGCCAGUUGCGCGCCUGGAGCAGGGGACGAAACAACGAGUAGGAGAAGUAAAGAAUUUCAAGAUUUAUGUGGAAGUUGACAAACUAAAGAAUCCUGACACUCUCAACAAUCGAACCAAAAGACAAUCUGCUACAUGUAAAGAAUACUGAUUCAAAGUUCUUUGCGGAGUACAACUCGAAGUUGCUUGAGUCUACUAACUACAUCACUAGGAGGUAGGCUGUCAAGCUUUUGGGUGAUAUCUUGCUGGAUCGUUCAAAUUCAGCUGUAAUGACACGAUAUGUUAGCUCAAGGGACAACUUGAGGAUCCUCAUGAAUCUUCUCAGGGUAGACUUCAAUGCGACCAGAGCAGUCCGCCUGUUGCGCGCUUGGAGCAGGGGACGAUACAACUAGGUUUCGUAGCUAUGAUAAUUGGCAGAAUUGCAUGUGUGUUCGAAACAAAUGAUGUCUUGCAAUGUAGCAAGCGAGAAAUGAAGUCCCAAAUCAGUAGAGUAAUUGAGCCGCAGAAGUUGUUAAUGUCUACUGGAGCAGCUCAAACUAAUGAAUAAGGACAUUGUAUAUUUAUAUCAACCUGGUUCGUGUGGGUCAAGCAUUCGUUGUAAUAUGAGAUUCGAGACAAUAUUUUCAAUAUGCACCCAAUUUUUGUUCUAAUAUUUCAAUAUACAUUCCCUAUAUAUAUUACAACUCAGUUUCUAAUGCUA